rnacentral:lncRNA from 1 species
GGGGGAGGAGGGUAAGAAAUUAAGAUUUCUCCUGGUUUCCUGGGGGGAAUUACAGUGCUAGGAAACAUAAAACACUGAAGAGAGGAAAUGGGCUUGCGGAGCACCUGGUCUUUGAUUUGACAUCCAAGAGUACCUAACUGAAUGAAGGAAUUUUUGCAUUCUCAUCUACUGUGUGUGCAUAAUAAGAACCAGGAUCAAACUAAUCUAAUAUCCUUAUUUCAUACUUUAUAAAGAAAGAGUGCAUUAACAAAGGUCAUUUUUUUUUUUACUCCUUAAUGAAGUUUAAAUACAGUUAAAUUAAGUUCUACUAAUAAAAGGUCUAUGUUUUUUUUCUAAUUUGCUUCUGGAGUCUUAAUAGCUGUUGACCUGAAGAUAAAUAUCAGAGCAGUUCAGCUAUCUAUUAUGUUCUUAACUAAUGAUGUCAACAAGACAAUUCCAAUAGGAGCUAAGGAGACAAUUUCCAUGGCAAUAAGAGUGAGAGCAGUGAAAGCUUAGAAUAAGAAAAGAAAACUUUUUGUGGUAGAAGACUCAAGAGACCUCAGUUUAUUUCCCUGUCUCUAGUGCAGUAUGUCCUUAGUUAAGCCACUUGGGGAUAUCCUCCUAAUACAGUAACAAAGGUGGACCUAGACCACUCUGCCUGUUGUCAGAGAAGGAUGAUCACUUCUGACCAUUGGGGAAUUCAAGGAUGUCAGGAUCCAGCUCCCCAUAUGAGUCAAUGAAGAAAGAUAAGUAUGGCAUUUGUGUUGGACUUCUGAGUACAGCCCUUCCUCCUCCCAGUGUCUAGAGGUAUUCCGAUCACUCAGCAUAGCUGUCAUGCAUAUUUCUUCUCGCUAUACCAUAGGUAAUAGAUGGUUUAAGUUCCUCACCACUCUCUUGUUUCCAGAGCCAGCAGUGAACUUAACUCCGUGCUAGGCCCCAUAAGACAUCUGAAUACAGUUUUUGGUCUCUGACUACACAGAACUACAAGACGUGGUAUUGCCUCCUAGCUUCAAGGUCCAGCUGCUUCCCC